CCUACGGGUGGCUGCAGUGGGGCAUAUUGCACAAUGGGGGAAACCCUGAUGCAGCGACGCCGCGUGAGUGAAGAAGUAUUUCGGUAUGUAAAGCUCUAUCAGCAGGGAAGAGAAUGACGGUACCUGAGUAAGAAGCCCCGGCUAACUCCGUGCCUGCAGCCGCGGUAAUACGUCGGGGGCAAGCGUUAUCCGGAAUUACUGGGGGUAAAGGGAGCGUAGACGGCGAAGAAAGUCUGAAGUGAAAGCCCGCGGCUCAGCCGCGGAACUGCUUUGGAAACUUUUUUGCUGGAGUACCGGAGAGGUAAGCGGAAUGCCUAGUGUAGCGGUGAAAUACGUAGAUAGUAGGAGGAACACCAGUGGCGAAGGCGGCUUACUGGACGGUAACUGACGUUGAGGCUCGAAAGCGUGGGGAGCAAACAGGAUUAGAUACCCUGGUAGUC
rnacentral:rRNA from 1 species